AUUAUACUUUAGUAUAUUUUCUAAAAGUAUACUUUAGAAAAAUAUACUUAAAGUUAAAGUUUUGUGCAAUUUUUAAAGUAUACUAAAUUUAAACUUAUUUUAAAAUGUAUUUUAGGUAUACUUUAUCGGUAUGCUUAAAGUUAUCAUUAUAAUAAUGCACUGACAGUAUAUUUCUAAAAUACAUUAUUUAGUAUUCUUUAGAAACAGUAUAUUUUAAGUACAUUUUGAUAUGUAUAUGGGGUGUACAAAUGUAUAUUAUUUUAUGGAGAAAUAACGUGGGCUUAAAAUUACGAGAGAGCAGUAUGUUCAGUUACAUUUUAUAUUGUAGAUGUAUACAUUUGUAAUAUACUAUUAACAUAAUAAGGUACACUUUAACUUCACUAUAGUCAAGCAUUGGAUAAAUCAAUUAACUGUGUUUUACCACAAAAUAACCAUGGUUUUGCUAAUAAUAAUCAAUACACCAAAAAAAAAAAAAAAAAAAUACUAAACUUUUACCACAAAAAAACAUUCAUUUUCGUAAGGGGAAUAUGAGUGUUUGUUUUUUUGUAGUUUUUGAGUCAAUUGCAUACCGCUUUUAGCUGUACACAUUAAUUAACUUAAACAGUUUUCGUAAAUGCAUUUCAGAGAAAAGUGAAUUCUGAGAUUUGAAUAAUGCAUCUGACGUGUGUGAUGACGUCACGACGCACGUAUUUUGAUUUUUACCAGUCGUUCAAGACGGACGGAUUCAGUCCCAAGAAGCUAAAGUUUUUCAAAGACACUUGUAGGGAGGACUUUGCAGCUAAUGAUUUCCUUAGGCUGAACCAAAACCUGCCAGACUAAAGUUGAUUUGGGAGAGAAAGCCGUUGUAAACUCACUCAUCUUGACAUUCUUCAAUGAGUAAUUGUUCAAUUUUUAGGCAAAUACUGUACACUUUGAAU